AAAAAAUUACCUAAGAAAUAUUAAUUCUCUCUCUCUCUCAUCUCCUCAAAUCAAAAUCUCCGGAAACCGGAAUCUACAAAAUCCGAAAUCUCAAGUGUAGUUUCAAUCUGACGGAAUCGUUUCCUUCUCCAUUUGGCGAUUCGCGGAGCUCCCAGAAAUCGUUUACGACUUCUUCUUAGUAGCUGAUUGCCGGAGCACCGGAACUCGUCCGCUGACCUACAUUCCCCAAUCGGCGAGAUCUGAUCGGAGCAACGGCGGCAAGAAGGCGGCGUUAUCACCGUCACCUUGGCUUUAUAGACCUCUGACUUCGAGUCUUCGACGGCUGUUAGCAAGGUGAAGAAGGCGUUACGAAGCGGCCGCGUAGAUGGAGACGGAGGAGGAGGGAGGAGCAUCGUCGGGUCAAACCGGAUCGGAGCAAGAAAUUCGUCACGGACGGUGGGUGAGUUAGUUAGUUCCGGUACAAAAUCGAAGAUCGGUUCUAGGAAUCGUAGGGCUCAAUUCUCAGGAUCGCUUACGUUGCUCAUUGUGAUUUCCCCAGCAAAUUUUUCUCCUGCCAAAUUAGUAAACUUGGGAAUCGAAUCGUGUGGAGACAAUGGUGCUACCACCUAUCUUAAGAGCUUCUUCAACAGCUUUAAACUUCAGCUUUCCCAGACCAAGAAGAAAGAGUAUGAAUCAAGGCAGAGAAGAAACGUGAAGCUUCUUAGAUCCGGCCAGUUUGGCUGGAAUGCAAAAGUUGAGGGUUGAAGUGGCAGAGCCAUGAAAUGGUUAGCAGAACACUACUCACCCUAGCCAUUGCGGGAGGAGCUCUCCACCACUGAAAUGAGAGCCGAAGACGAGCAUUCUGCUCAUAGUAAGGUUGAUAGUCCCAAAAAAAAGGCACACAACGGGAUUUAGAUGAUUCUUCAAAAAGAAAUACCUGAAGAAACUGGGAUCUGUAGUGCAUGUAUCUCCGGUUGGUGAAGGGAAUGUGGCUCAAGGCGCGGGGGAUGAGGCAAAAGUUGGCAUUUCAAUCAGUCUGGAGAAAGAACAGGUAGAGCUGAUAAGACGUCCAUGAAGAUUCAAGAUCAACUUGAAGAGGUUUUGUGCGAGUCUCGGGGAAAUGAAGAUUAUAGCAAAUGCUACUUGCAUUACCACUACUUUGAUCUGAGUUUUAAAUUUGCUGGUAUUUGUGAGAAUAUUUGAUGAAAGGACAACGAAAGCGGCAGUUCGUGGACAGAAGGCCGAAUGUACAUCUCUGAAUCAAGAGCUGCAAGAUAUGGAAGCUCGUGCUCGCAAAGGACAAAAGAAUUCCCCAGAUGAAGCAAACCAAGUGAUCCAGAAUCAAGCAUGGCAGGACGAAGUGGACUGUGCUCAGCAAGGUCAAAGAGAAACUUUCUUCAACGGAGAGUAGGAGUAUACAGAGCUGGAGAAAAGCGACCGUGAACUAACAGAUUUACUGGUAACGUGGACUCUAGGGCGUACUGAUUCUCUGGAUCAAUAUUGUAUUGCAAAGUUGUCUGCUAGCUUCUGGCUUUGGUGUUUGGAUUGAAAGUGAGAAGGCUGCAGCAGAGUUUCAGUUGAAGGAGGAGGUCAAACGUCUACAUGAAGCGCAGAGGUAGAAAGAAGCAUCACUGAGCUGUUUUCACCUUCAAAGAGUGUGUACAACCAGGCAAAGUGCUGGGUUCAUAGACCAACUAAACACAACAUUUCUAAGAUGUAAUAAAUACACAAUAGAACUUUUAAGGAUUACUGGACACAGCUUCCGAGUCAAGUAGAACUUUGUGUAGGAGAGUAGCCUGACGUACUGCUAUAGGCUUUGCCCAGACAUAUGAUGCGUCUAGUAGAUGCUAUGUUUUUAA